GUGAGUCAUCGAAUCUUUGAACGCAUAUUGCGCUCGAGGCCUCGGCCGAGAGCAUGUCUGCCUCAGCGUCGGCCCACCCCUCGCCACCCUUUCCCCCUUUUGAUUUCAAAGGGGAGACUGGAAAGGCGGAUCUGGCCGUCUCGGCGCCCUUCAAAGGCUGCCGGGUCGGCUGAAGCAUAGAGGCUUGAGCACGGACCCCGUUUGAUGGGCACAGCUUGGUAGGUAGCUCACGCUGCAUGCCGCUGGCGCCCUAGGGGACCAUGCUGUAAAGCCUGCAGGAAAAGGGGGCCAUUCAAUUGG
rnacentral:misc_RNA from 1 species